CAAGAGAAUUCUCGCUGGAUACGUGCCCGGGCCCAGGGCCUCGCAAUGGCUAGAGGCAGCCUUGGAGUCAGCAAGAGCCGCCUGCUGGCAGCGAAAACCUGGACGUGUCCAGUGGAGGCAGCAGGAGGGCUUGCAGGGCCCCGGGGCUGGGCUGUCGCGCCACGGAGUCCAGCCACUUUGCAAACUUGACAGUCCACCAGAAGUGCGAUUGUCAUUCCAUGGCUCCAGAGGAGAGCCAGCCGGGGGGCAGACCGACUCCUGUACUCCCUGGAAUCCUGGCCGAAGGAAGCUGCCCCAGGGCAGUACUGGGCCAGCGGAGGUCGGUCUUCCAGGGGAGGGCAGAGGCUCCGAGCCCUUGGCAGUCCUCACCCAGGCCCACGCUAGGGAGAGCCAAACCCCUUGAACUCUGGGUCUUGAGGCAUCCCCUGGCCAGAGGGCCCUCUGCCCCUCUUCAGCCUUCCCCGCCUCUGGCUGCAUUUCUCCUUUGGCACUCUGGGCCAAAUCUCCAUGAAGGGAGCUGCGGAGGGAGCCCGCUCUCCAGUCAGUUACCUUCCUGGAGGCUCAGACAUGGCGGCCGCCUUGGUUUGAGCACGGCCAACACCACCGUUCUGGAGGCUCAGCAGUGACUCUCUGGAGCCCAGCGGCCAGCUCUUUGCUGCAUGGCUGCUCCUACUCACACCCAGCUGACUCGGCCUCAGUUGAAAGUUUCUGCCUCCCAAAAGCAAAGCAAAAAAAAAAAUGGCAUUUAGAGAUCCCCGAGGGUCUGACCUAUUCCAGAAAAGCUCAACUGGGGGAAGCGGGAGAGCCAGGACAAAGCAUAGACGUGGUUCUUUAUAGAUGUGCCUGUGGAAUUGGCUUUUCUUUGUAUAUGUUCAUUAUAACAGUGGCUGGCAUUUCAUGAAGCACUUUGUACAUGCUAUCUUGGAUUUGUUAAACGAUCCUUGGAGGCAAGUACAUGUAUUAUUCCUGUUUUACAGGUGUGGAAACUGAGUCUGACAGAACCUGGGUAACUUGCCUAAGAUCACACAGCUGGUACGUGUCUGAGACUGGUUUUGAAUUCUAGUUUUGCUAGCACAGGGCCCAUUGAUCUUACCCAGAGCACCAGACCACAAUAAGCAAUUGUUCUCUUAUAAGAAAGAAAGAAUGCUGAGCCAAGAAGGUUCCAUAUUCCCUUCCCUGGGUCCCUUCACCUGCCCUCAGCCUCCAGUUUUCUCAGGUAAGAUGAGGAGGUUGGCCUUGAUGGUCUCCUUCCUAGCUUUGGGUCUACAUUACUACAUGCUUCUACGUGGGGUGGGGAUGGCUCACCCAUCUUUGGGGUCUACCUUUCAACCAACUCUUAUGUAUGGCUCCAAGAAACCAUAGCCUGCACAGGGCCAUGCCCCAGGAAAAUUGCCUUCUCAAGUGGAGAGUCACCCACAAGCCCCCAAUCUGUCAGUGAGUCAGAGGGGUGUCUGCCCCCAGCAGAAGGGCUGGGCGAGAACCAUUUGUUCCAGCAGCCAUGAAGGUGACUGAAGUAGGUGCUAUGGUGGGCUUGAAGCUUGGCCAGACAUGGAAGAAGCCAAGUUCGUCCAGUGCAUCCUGAGCCAUCCCCAUUGGGCCUGACUCUUGUCUUGUCCCUGGACCUGGAUGCCUCUGCAAGAGAGAGGGAGCCUGCCAAGUAAUCAAUAGUGCGUGCCAGUGGGCCUCACUGAAAUCCAACUCAUGCCCAAGGCAAGACCACAUCGGCGAUGGCCUGGAUCCUCUGAAAGCGAAAGACAAUCAGCAAAAACAAUGAGCUCUCACACGGAUGGCUUUGCUUUUAGUUUUUCUGUGGUGGGGGCAGGGGAGUUAGUCCAAGUCCUUCCAGUAAUAGCUCUGCCAGUGUUGUUCAUCCUGUAAGUCUGAGGAAUGGUUAAACAGGGAGGGAAAGGGCCAGAGAAAGCCAGCAACCUCAAGAAAACCUGGACCAGAGGAUAACCAAGAGGGAAAGGCAAACCAGAGCAUCCAGAAUGUUAGAGGCUUUGCACGAAUGGAAUCACUAGGUCUAGAAUACGAAGAGAAGCUGUCCAGUGAGAAGAGAGUCUUCCAUCAGGCUCCCUUGAUAAAAGCCUGAUGACCAAGAUAGAAAGAGAAAUGGCACAGCCCAUUAGGCUAAGUCUUUCCCCAAUCAAUGAGUGGUCAAACAAAAUGAAUGAAAAAAAAAAACAAUGACUAUACUAAAUUCAUCAUAAUAGAAAUGUAAAUUCAAAUAGCUUUCACUCUCCACCUUCCCUACUACAGACUAUCCCAGUUGAAAACAGAAACAGUCAACCCUGGAGGGAUUGUGGGAAGGCAUAAUCCCACAGUUCCUGGGAGUGUGCCACCAUUGAACCCAUGGUGGAUUCUCCUAAAAUUCCGCCCUAUUUCUUCCAUUUUCCCAAGAUAGAGUACAUCUGUGGUGUUUCCAUGAUCUAUUUGUGGAGCAGGGUUAGAGUCAUGGGUCAACCAAAGGUAACAUGUUAGGUAGGGUUGUUAGGCUGCCACAAAUUCUCAGAGAAGAAUCUUUCAGGAAAAGUGGAUGACAUUAGAGAGGGGUGUGGCCAGCUCUUCAGAUUCACUGAGAUCAAUGCCUCCUGGGUAGGGGUUGGGGUGGCUGGAGGGGAACACUCCCAUCCAUUAAAGGAGUCUCAGGUGCCCUGAAGGAUCAAAAGUCCAAUUGUCAGCUUAGUUGGGCUAUCACAAGGGAGAAGGAGCUUACUUCUGGUUCUUGGUGAACUCAUGGUAGCUCCCCAUGGCCUCCAUUAGUGCAAACCGGAAGAAAGGCAAUUGUUCUGGGCCAGCCCUAGAGAGGGAAGUGAAGGGUGAUAACAGGGUUUUCAUGUAGAACCCUGACAGCUUUCUUUGACCCUCAGAAGCUUCCCUUUCUUCUGGGAACUGGAAGUGGUGAUGUUAGCACUGUCGCGUCACGUCACUGUCCAGCACUGUUGCACACCAUCAUGCCUCCAGGACCCCAUCAUUCUGUCUUGGACCUACAAGUGUUCCUCCAUUUGAGCAGGGUCUCCUCCCAAAUCAACCCUACCCGCAAUGCUGUGGCUAACCCAGGCCAGACACUUUUGCUGUGGCCUCGAUUCCCCAAAGAAAAGGGACAGGAAGCUUUGAAAUCUAUUCUGGCGGAAUCUUCUGCUUCUUAUCGAUUUUUUCUGUUUUGUUUUGUUUUUUGUUUUUCCUACCUUAAACAAAUUGGCCGUGUGCCCAGAGCUCCGAGUACAGCUGCAUUUUUUGAAUUAAUUAAAUACUCUCACACUUUCACAGUUUCUCCCGGUAAUUGCGAUGGAUCUGGAAAAGCGCAUCACUGGAGGAAUGUGUUGUGUAAUCCAGCUAGAUGUAGGUGGUCUCGAAACCACUUAUCGAAUCUGUGUACUCAGCAAAGGUGAUCAGUGCAAGGAAAAAUGCCAUUUUGACAAAAGUUAAGUCCUCUAAGCUCCCCUGAGCCUCCCGAGAAAUCAGCCUUUCUGUGGUGUCGGGAAGGUUGCAGCGCCUACCACACCUCCUAUUGUCUGGCCAGGCAAGGGAUCCCCUCUUGAGCUAAUUACAUCCAGUGGAUGCCUUUUCCCUAAGCUUUGUUGACUUUUGUAGGCUCACUACCUGGGCUUUGGGGGUGAUGGGAGAUUUCAGAGAAGAAAAUCCCCAUUUCCCAUCUCUGACAUGAACAAAUUGAUGACUCAACGGCUCCCAGACCUCGGGCACCCUUGGAUGCCUAUUUGCCUUGCCGUGUAUGGCCCCGUCCAGGGCUGCCUCUCCAUGCUCCCUGGGAUGGCUUCCUUUCUUUCAUAUGAUCCCUUGGGAUUUUUCCUUUUCUUUUUUUCAAAUUCGGUUGGGUCUCUCAGGAACCAGCCAUGUCCUGUUGGAAGGAAGCUUCUCGACAAAAUGAUUUGCCAAGAAAGUCAUUAUCCCGAGAGCCCUGGCCAUGUUUCUGCUUAGACAUUCUACCUUGCUGCUCAAGUUAUUCUCCCUCUGGCUGUUGCUCCCCCCCCCCUUACCCUCCCCCUCCUUAUUUUUUAUGAAAUAGUUUUCUCUGAGCAAAAUAGUUUUGAUUUUUAGAAAAGGUUAUGAUGUUUAGAUAUGAAUCAAAUAGAGCCUCCCAAACUAGGGCAACAUCACAAGUUCAUUCUCUGGAUCUUUGUAAAGAGGCUAGAGAACAACCAGAAAGCCAGGAUCUGGGGACCCAAGUAUUGGGCUACUAAAUAGUAACAACUGAGUACCCUCACUUAAAUGACUCAGGAACAAGAGUUUUGGAGGAGUCAAGAAGCCCGAGUUCAAAUCUGCCUCAGACACUGAGCUGGGUAAGUCUGGACAAAUCACUUUGUUUCUGUGUUCUGUAAAAUGGGGAUAUUAAUAACCUCUGCUUCAUGGGUUUGGUGGAAGAGUUAUAUUAGAUCAUCUGUAUAAGGGGCUUUACUGGCCUUCAAAGUGAUAGUUAAUGGCUUCCAAUGCUCUAGAAAUGUACAUUCUCAUCCCUUUGCAAGCUCUGGGGUGCUUCCAGCUCAUCACUUGCUUGAGGGAGGGAAGGGACAAAUGCAGCAGCAACUGCUGCAGAGGCAGAUACCAAGUCCCAACUCCACCAGAGCAGUUCCUGAUGGCUUAGAGGCCAGGCUGGAAGGAUGGUCAGCAAUCUUGAGUGAAGGGGGACAGAACUGCUAUCCCCAGAGCUCUUGGAUUCACUUGUCCAUUGGUGGUAAUUGGUAUUGGUUGGGUUGGGAAUGGAGGCCCCUCCUUUUCCCACAGGACUUCCUCCUUUAAUGAUGUCUGGGGAGGGCUAUUAGAAACCAGGCUGAAGGUUUAGGGGUCCCUGCUCUCCUAAGGUCUCUGGGGUUCUGGGUUCUAGGCUAUCUUUACCACAUCUGUGCUUUAACGAGUAGCCCAACUUUGUGUUUACUGCUCUUUGCAAGACCCUGACAUCGGCCAUGUGGGGAUCCACAUUUUUUACAAUUCAAAACUGAAGGCCAGAGAGGAGGACUGACUUGAUCUGGGUCAUAGAGCCAAGAAGUGUCAGUGGCAGGACUGGAAUUCAUUUCUUGAUUCCAAAGUCAGUUCUUUCUCAAUGACACCAAACUACCAGUCUCUCAUGCUAUGCAGAUAAUGGCAAUAAGCAUCAUGAUGUAUUGAGGCAAACAGCCUUUGUGUUCUCCAAAGAUCCAUCUUAAGGUGAAGGAGAUCCGACUUUGGAAGGAAAUGCCAGCAAAACAUGAGCUUUGGCAAGUCCUACAUACCCAGAAAGAUUUCAAAUAUACCAUUCAAGGCUCAGCUUGGAGACGUUUGGAGAGGAACAUCUAAAGAAAGUUGGCCCUGUCCAGGGUGGUCAUUUUUGUCAGCCACAGCAGCACAGGAAGCUAGCUUUCAUUGUUUCUAGCCAUCUCUGUCUCAGGCCGGCUGGAUUUCACUGUGUGCCUCUCUCUCUCUCUGUCUCUCUCUGUCUCUCUCUGUCUCUCUCUGUCUCUCUCUGUCUCUCUGUCUCUCUGUCUCUCUUUCUUUCUCUCUCUCUCUCUCUCUCUCUCUCUCUCUCUCUCUCUCUCUCUCUCUCUUAAUUAACAAGAAUUUUUCCUCUUCCCUUUCUCCUCCUUCCUCUCUCACACUGUACAUAUCUGUCUGACUCUCCCAGAUAACUGGGCAAAAGUCCUUCGAUCUGUACCUUCCAUUUCUGUUAGUGGUUCUGCCUAUGGGGAGUUUCCCUGGACAAUGUCCCAUGUUCUGGGUCUGUUACCCACAUUCAGUUCCUACUUCUCCCUCUGCUGAUAAUAAUAGCAACAACAAACUACAUUUAUAUGGGCUUACUUUACAUUUAUUCUCGUAUUUGAUGCAUGACAAUCCUAGGAAGCAGACGCUAUAUGCUAUUUUGAUUCCCAUUUUGCAGAAAAGUAAACUUACCCAGGGUCACAGAGCUAGGACUUGGCAGAGGCUGGAUUUGAACUGAGGAUCUGUAGAGAAUGGCUUCAGGUCAGUGGUACCAAACUCAAACAGAAGUCCCAGUCUUUUGACUUAUAAGCCACAUAUUCACACGAUCUCUGGUGUAUUGAAUUUUUGGUGAUUUGUCCAUCGUUUCCCAAGUCCAUUGUCAUCUGUUUUGGGUCGAAGCCCUUGGGAGUUUUGCCACAAGGUCUAUAGCUACCAGUUGGCCAGAACUGCUGUAGAUGCCGCCACACAUUGUGCUGCCCAGCUGCCCAGUUUAGGCUUCAGUUUCUUAUUGAUGGGGAAAGAGGAACAAAGGUUGCUCUCUAACUUUGCUCACUUUUCAUGUUUCAUGUGCAUGUAUCAUUUGCUCAGAAAGCUGCCCAUUCUCACCAGGACAUUGCCUGUCCAAAGGGGAUCACUUCUCUUCUGAAUCCCUACUUUAAAAAAAUGGGUCCAUGGACAGGACCCAGAGAGUUAGAGCCAAGGAGCCAUGACUGCACUUAGCUUCCUCUUUUCCUCAACACUUAACAAUCACAAUGUACCUGAUUGACCUUGGGAAGCUCACUUGUGCCCUGGAGCUUCAGUAAAGACUUUUAUGGCCCUGUCCAGCUUUAUGUGCUGAAUACCCUAUAAUCAUGAGGGAGUCCUUUAUCUGCCCUUGGGUUCACUUUUUUCAUCUGAAGAAUGAGAGGGUUGGAUUCUAUGGUCUCUGAGAUCUUCCCAUAAUCCUUUGAGCUUUACCUCUAUAAAUUUGAAUUUUAUAACCUAUAAAAAGGGGCAAGAAGUCCAAGCUUUCUGACCUCAGAGAAUUGUGGUGAGGAGAAAUGAAAAAUCCAUCUCCCAGCCUUUAUUUAGCACCUGCUGUGUAUCAGGAUCUAUGCUAAGUACUGAAGGUAUUAAAGCAAAAAUGAAAUCACCACUGCCUUCAAAGAGCUGACAUUCUCCUGGAGAAAACAACAUGUGCACAAGCAAAUGAGACUUUCAUGUCCACAUCACUAACCUAUGCAGGCAGCACCCCUGGGGCUGACUACAAGGACUGCUUCUAGAAGAUAUUCUGUGGACUCUCACCAAAUGGGAGGAUCUUCUUUCUGCUGGAUUUCCAUUGCAAUGUCUUUCCAUCUACCUGACUGAGGCAAAAUUUCUCUCUUUUUUUCAGUGGUAUCCAAGGAUGAAGCUCAUAUUCACUCAUAGCAGGGACAAUAUGUGGUAUGUUGGAAGGGCCCUUUGACCCUGUGGCAUCAAGAAAUGGGCUUCAAGUUUGGCUCUAUUUCCUUUGUUCUUUUCAGUCCUGGGUGCAGGAGAUGGAGUCCUGAACUUCAGAGUCUGGCCCAUGAGAACCCACUAAACUGUCAAGGAAGCCUCGAGAAGCCAGAGUUCAAGUCAAGGAGGGAAGACACUUUGGGCUUGAUGGAACCACACAGUCAAAAGAAUUGAGCUUAGUGUUCUCUUGUUCAGUGAACAAAGUGGUAAGGCUGAGUUCUAGCCCCAAGGUGUUGGAGGGAAGAGUUGGUGUGCCUUUUUCUUUCUCUACCUUUGAAGUUAACGUGUGUUUGUAAAAAUUAAUCCACUGUUAAAUGGGUGAAUGGGGUGGAGGUGCCCCAACCCCUAAAAUUGAGGGGGAGCAUGAGCAGUAGGGACUGGAGCCAAUGGCAGAUGCUACAGAUCCCCAGGUUCCCCUAAUGGUUCCCGAGAACCCUGGGAGAUGGAUGAAAUGUAACAUGCCUGGCCUUCAGGGGAGAGGGGUCAAAGGAAUCAAAACAAUACCACGUGAUAUGGAGUGACUGCACGAAGAAGAGGACCAACAACUAUCAAGUCUGGAGGCUUAGCCUCUGAGCCCUGAAGGAGUCAGGGAGGCUCCUCAAGAAAGAAGGGAAUGUUGGAGAAGUGUUUUGUAAACUGUAAAGUACUUUUGUAAAUGCCCAUUGCUGAAGGGAUGGGAAGCUGAUCACUGCCCUCCUUUCCCUUCCUCUACUUUCUCUUGACCUUCCUAGCCCCUUCCCUCUUUUCUUCACUUCUUGACCAUUCUCAUCUGUUCCCUCCUCUCACCCCCUGGCACAUACCUUCCCCUCAUUCCAUACAUAUAGCACCAAGCUAAGGCACACUGACUGUCCACACUGCCUGCCCACUCUCCCCUAGUCUCCAGCCUCUCUCAGCUUUGUAGCUGAUCUACACAGUCCUAGUAACUCACUUCCAUUCCUUCCUACUUUGGCAUCUCCAAGACUGGAAUCAUCUGAGAGCUUCCCACUUCUGGGUCUCUGCCUCCCAGUCUUGGAUUUCUCAUGUCACCUCAAGAGUCAAGACCAUAGCACAAGAAGGCCCUUGGCACACAUACAUGCAUUCAUGGGUAGGUAGGUGUUUUUACGUGUGAGCACAUGUGGGGAAUAGAGCAUGGAUAUAUAUAUGGAUCUUUGUGUGAGUGUGUGUGCAGAGGGUGUAUAUUUAUUCACACUCACACACAUGCACAGAUUUGGUUCCAGAAUUGUGAUUUCUUCAAAGUAAGUCCUAGUGUGGAAAGUCUUUCCAUAAAUACAGAUCAGCAACAUGCCUAUGAUUCCUAGUCUUAGAGCACUGACCAGGAGCACGGAAGGGUAAUCAGUCAACAACUGAAUGAACAAGCAUUUAUUAAACCCUGAUAGUGUUCUGUAUCCCCAGCUAGGUACUGGGGAGCCAAGGGACAAGAGUGAAAUCUCUGCCCUCACGAAGUUGUGUGCAAUAGAAGACAACAACACACGAAUACAAGAUUCCUUCCUGUGACUAACAAACCCCUUUGGGGAUCCUACAUACUGAUGUUUUAUGUCUGCUGGGAGUUCAUGGGAAACAAUGUGGAGAAGACCUGCCUCAGUGCCACGAAUAAGCCCCAUUUCUGCUACCUACUAGCUAUGUGAUCCUGGAAAAGUCAUAUGAGGAAAUUGAGGCAAACAAAGGUAAAAGGACUUGCUCAUGGUCUCCAGCUGGUAAUAGUGGACAAGAGGACAUAGACAAGACUGGUGAGAUGGACAUGGAAACUCAUCUUUGCGGCUUCCUUGUGAUGUAACCUUGGGUAAGUCAAUGAAUCACACAGUCAGAGUAUUGGAAGGGACUUUGGCCAUCAUUUGGUAUAACUUUCUGGAUUUGAACUGAGUUCUUCCUGACUCCAGGCCCAGUGCUCUAUGCACUAAGGGGCUCCUACUUGCCCACAAUUCUGAGUCUUUACAAUUCUCCACCCUUCCAAGGCAGGAAAUGGGAGAACCCCUUUAUACUAUCCUGAAGAGAUGAGACAAGGAAGAGAUUGUGGAGUAGGAAAGUUUAUGAUACUGAUUUUCUAAACUUCCCAUGAAGCAUUGCACCUUUUCGAGAGCAGUCUCUCCUAACCAAAGGAUCAAGUAUUUAUGAAUACAAUUUGUAGUCAAUUUUCUGCAAAUUAGACCAGCCCAGAAACAUAGCAUCAGCGAGAGAAUCUUCUUUCACCACACAUUUGGCCAUUAGAGAUCAUUUUUCUGGAAAAUUCUUCCCCAGAAAUCCUUGUCAGCACUCAUCCUUGAUCAAAGAGUUUAUUCCCUUGGGGAAUCCUGUGGUCCAGUCACAGGGUCUCCCAAGGGAUGGCUCCAAUAUAAAUUCUUCUGUUGGACCUUAAAGCCCUCUACAGCCUGACCACCACCUACCUUCCUAGCCUUGUUACAAUGACUUCGAUUGUGUGCUUUCUACAGUCCUGCCAAAUUGGUCCUUGCUAUUCUUCAUGCAUGCCUUUGGGCUGGCUGUCCCCUAUCCCUUUGAUGCUUUCCAUUCCAGUCUUGGCCUCUUGGAAUCCCUCAAGACUCAGCUCAGGCAGUGCCUUGGAGGAGGCUUUUCCUGAUCCCCUAACUUUUAGCACCUUCCCCUCCAUGGUUACCUUCAAUCUGUUUUGUGUGUGUGUGUGUGUGUGUGUUUUAUGUACCUAUCCAUGUACAUGUCACCUCUGCCAUUUGAAUGCAAACUCCUCAAGAGCAAGACUGGUUUGUACUUCUGUCUGUGUGCCCCAUGUGCCUGGCAAAGUUCUUGGCACACACUUGAUGUCUCAUAAAUGCUUCCAGACUCAUGGCUAGAAGGACAACUGCCAUCGUCCUUGAAUCACAUCCCUUCUGUCCUGUAGUGGGUCUUUCUAGAGGCCCAGCAUCAGGGCCCUGGUAGCAAGUCCCUCUUUAUCAGCUCCCUAUUGGUAGAUUUAUUAAGCGCCAUCUCUGCACCAUGCUGAGCCCUGGAGGAGACAGAAGAACCAAGGAGACAUAGUUCCUGUUCUCAAAGAGCUCCAGUCCACUCACAGCAAUAUGAUGGGAAUAUCAAAAACUGGCCAAGAAAGUCAGUGUCCAACUCUUCCUCAUAGAUCGAAGCUUCUUGCUUGGGUUCUUGAGGAUGGUGCUAGUGUGGUGUGAGCCAUGAUAGGUUGUAUUGAGUGUGAAACCUUUGAUUCAGGAGCUCAACAAUGAUAAUAAUCAUCAGCAUUGACAUAGAACCUUGAGGUUUGCAAGGUCCUUUACAAGGAUUAACAGCAGGUGCUACUAUUAUCCCAAUUCCCAGGUAAGGAAAGGUAGAGAGUGGUUGAAGAACUUUCCCAGUGUCAUGUGGCUAGUAGCUAUCUGGAGCCAGAUUUAAACUCAAGUCUUUUCUGAGGCUCUACCCACUGCACCAUCUAGCUGAGAAAUCUCCCAUCUGAAAACAAUUCUGGCUAUGAUCCUAAAGGUCCAUCACCAGAAGGCUAGCUAUGAUGAGAUGAAGAUAAAGACUAUCUACAAAGGCUUGUAAAAGUGCUCUCUACAUCCCUGGGGCAAGGCAGUCACAGAUUUUUAAAAACCCUGUAUAUUGUUUCUAAGGCACAAGAGUGGUAAGGGCUGGGGAAUGGGGGUUUAGGAUCCCAUCUAGGAAGUAUCUCAGUCCAGAUUUGAACCCAGGAUCUCCCAUCUCUAGGCCUGGUUCUCAGUCCACUGAGCCACCUCAUUGCCCCCAGAAUUCAUAGAUAUAUUAUAGUAGAUAUUGAAGGAAGUGGGAAAACCCUACACUUGGAAUCACCCCAAAACUAGCUUCAGAUUUCAUCUCACACACAUGCUAGUUGGUUGAUGUGGGCAUUAGUCACUUUGCUCAUUUGAAAAAAGAAAACAAGAUACAAUUCCUGUGGCCCAUUCCACUGGGUUAUCCUAAGGAUCAGCUGAGAUUGUGAACAUCAACUAUUUCAAAAACUCUUUACAUGCCAGGUAUUAACAAUGGUUGAGGAUGGCACUCAUGAGUCUGGCCAGCUGAAUGAGAUUAAAUGGAUGAGGCCAUUGCUGAACUUGGAUGAUCUGAGAAGAGUUUGGAUUGUCCCUCUUCUCUGAACAUUACUAGGGAGGGGUUCAGGCUAAGCACUGAUAUGAUUGGAUUGUGGAAAGAACCAUCCCUCUUUGAACUGGGCCUGGAAGAGGGCCUAACCAGCCCUGCCGGCAUCAGGCUGCAAGAGAGCUAAGUAGACACCAGACCAUGAGCUCAAGGCUGGAAGGAGCCUUUGGAACCCCUCAUUUUACAAAUGAAUUCUGUAAUUUGUUUAGAGUUGCAUAGCUGGAAACAACAGAGGUAGGACUUGAACUCUGAUCUUCUUUAUUUCAAGUCCAACAGAGCAGACUCAGGUGCAGUUGUUGCUUUCUGAGGAAAUGAAUCCUUCUGUGUGUUCCUCAAAAUGACAGCCAUAACAACAUAAUCUAUGGAGGAACUCACCCAAGAGAGAAGAGAGCAGGGCCCUUGGCGAGGGAUGUUUCAGGGCAUGCUAGAUGUGGCCAUCAGAGCAGGUUCCAGUAUUCAAAGGCCCCAGCCACUGAGGCAAAUUGUAGACUGAAACAGAAGAAAAGGGAUGGUUUGAAAGCCUAAAAAGUCAGAACUGGGCUAGGAGGGGGGAGAAUUAUAUGCCCAAUGGUGAGCUUUCUUGAACCUAAGCCUGGGGAAGUAGUGAGGAUCCUGAUCCAUGAAGUGAAGAAGCAGAACCUGACCUCUGCCUCUCUUUACUGUUGUGAGUUUUCUGGACUGUGUAGGUCCAAGGGGAAGGUGGUUGGUUGUCUCUAGAGAUUGAAGAACCCCGAGGACCAAAAAUGGCCCCAGGACUAAAUCAGCUCCAAAGGGAAGAGUUCAGCAUCAUUUAGGUUCAUCUCAGGUGGAGCACGGACUGAGAGACUUUCCCUUCAAGCCAUCUUCACCUGAGUGAAAUGUCUCUGGAGAGAAGGUGCCUGACCUGACCUGCCAGGACAAUCUCUCCUCCCUUAGCAGACAGUCAUUUGUGUUCUUUACUUAGCAAAGGCAUGCUACAUCUGAGUGACUUACCACCCCAACAGGUUUUCUUUAAGAAUCCGCCAUCUUGGUGUGGGGGUGUGUAGAUUAGUCAUUUUGAAGUAGGGGGUGGGAGGGUUGUCCCAUAUAAACAAGGCCACAAUAACAUUUGAAUUCACUCUUAAUAGACUCUGUGACAUUUGUCUGUGACAUCAAACAACAAUUCUUCCAUUUUUAUUUGAGCCCAUUUUAGAAUUCAGCCAGAGCUUCUCUGAGAAGUCAAUCUGGCCUUUGCUAGAUUCCACUCUUCCACCAGAUGGUGUCCCUCCAGCCUCUCAGCUGAGCUCUUUUCUGGCUGAAACACCACUGGCAUACUCAUUGGCUGGUUGGUUUGAUUUAACUACUGUAAAUAUAAGCAUAGUUCCAGACUAGGCUCUACUGAAAAGUUUGGGACUGGGACAGAAAUGCCCAUUUCCCCUAUUCCUUAAGUAUCUGGAAAAUAAAGAACUGUUUUUUUUUCAAGAACAUCUUUUGUUAUCCCAUGAUAUGAUUAGAAAUUCGGGGGAGGGGGGGAGAGGGAGAUCUUCAAACAAAGGAUGCCCAACUAAAUUAAGAAGCUGUAUUCAUGUGUGCACUGAGGCUUAACUGUCAGCAGGUGAUGUCCGAAUGACAUCUUUUCACCCAAAGCAUCUUAACCUUUGACGUUCAGACUGAGAUGAAAAGGACAAGACUGCACGUGUGGGCCGUACUUUUGAAAAAGAUGAGCUGGAAAGCAGAGAGCCCUAAGGAUGUUGGCAAAAUCAAAGGAAAUAUGAGGUUCUCUGUUUGAAAAAAAAAGCUAGCCGAUCUCAAGAAAGCUAGGAGGCAUGAGUGAAAAGAAUUUUACAGAGCUGUACUUUUCUCUCUACUUUGGGCUGCUGAGGUUUGUAACUCAACUUUAAGAAAUUUUAGGCAAGGAAAGGAGGAAGAAGCAUCCUGUGGAUAAAGGGUGAGCCUUAGAGUAAGGAAGAUAUGGGUUCAUGGUCUGCCUUUGACAAUGUGACCUUGGAUAAGUUAUUUAACCUUUUGGCAUUCUCCCGGAGUCAUGAAGACCCAAGUUCAAAUUCACACUCAGACACUUAGCUAUGUGACCCUGGGAAAGCCACUUAAGCUCUCUAUACUCCCAGUAACUUUCUAAGACUGUAGUUCUAUAGUUGGAUGAAUCUGUGGGGCCAUUAAUAGAGCUGUCUCUAAUAAUAAUUCAUACCUUUACAUCCUGAAUGAUUCUAGUUAUUCAUUCAUUCCUUCAUUCUACAAGCAUUAUUCAGUAUCUACUAAAAGCUGGAAACCUUCUUGUCCAGGUUGUUCCAUAAAUCUUCCAUCCAGAAUUUGCCUUUCUUCCUCUUGACUUCCUAAUAUUUCACAGAUCCCAAGAGGAGCCUUGAAAUUUCCCAGCUAUUCUCUCUCCCCCUCCCAACAUUACUGGCUCACUAUAUAUCCUCCCUGAAGUCUUUUAGAUCAAUUGUCCUGAAGUAAUAAAUGGUAUAAGGGAAAUGGAAAAAAUUGGGACACUAAUGCAUGGCUGUUGAAGUUGUGAAUUGAUCUAACCCUUCUGGAAGGCAAUUUGGAACUAUGCCCAAAGGGCGAUAAAAGACUGUCUGCCCUUUGAUCCAGCCAUAGCACUACUGGGUUUGUACCCCAAAGAGAUCAGAAGGAAAAAGACUUGUACAAGAAUAUUCAUAGCCAUGCUCUUUGUAGUGGCAAAAAACUGGAAAAAGGGGGGUGUCCAUCGAUUGGGGAAAGACUGAACAAAUUGUGAUCUCUGAUAGGGAUGGAAUACUAUUGUGCUGACAGGAAUAAUGAACUGGAGGGAUUCCAUGUGAAUUGGAAAGAUCUCCAGGAAUUGAUGCAGAGCAAAAGGAGCAGAACCAGGAGAACACUGUACACAGAGACUGAUACAUUUUAGCAUAAUUGAAUGUUUGCUAAACUUUGUUUGCUGACUCUGCUACUAGGGAUGUAGGAGAAAGAAUGUAUCCACAUCCAAAGAAAGAAUUGUGGGAGCAGAAACACAGAAGAAAAACAGAUGAUCAAUCACGUGGUUUGAUGGGGAUAUGAUUAGGGAUGUAUACUCUAAAUGAUCACUCCAUUGCAAUAUUAAUAACAUGGAAAUAGGUCUUGAUCAGUGGUACAUGUAAAACUCAGGGGAAUUGCUUGUUGGCUAUGG